AGACUAGAGGCUAACAUGAGCAAAUCAGAUUGUCUUUCUAGGACACCAAGUCUAUUUGAAGAGAGUCAUCAAACUGAUGCACAGGACAGCAGAAAUAAUCAAUAUUUACCCUUGAAAGCUAAGAUGGUGGAUUUGGGAUUUUUUUAGGCAAACUUCAUCCGCCCAGAAUCUUCACAAAAGGAGAACUUCUGACUUCAGCUUAGUUUACUCAGAUACACACUAUAGGAAGAGAUCAUGCUACUGGAGCAACACUAAAUUAAAUGCAGAAAUCUUAUCGGCUAGGGGACCUGUAGAUAUCACAGAGAUUUCACUACAGCAUAGUCGCUUACCUGUUUCAUAAUCAUUCUUAUUUUUCAAGUGGAGUUUGGAAUUCUAUGGUGGAAGGAUGUGGUUGAGAUGAUACUAACCUGAAACUAGAACAGACACAAAAUCAAAAAACUUUAAUAGAAAGAAUUAAACAACUAGAAGCAACCUGAAUUAUAGGCUGUCAUCGGAGGCUCAGUGCCUACCACAACGGGGCCUGAUCUUUGACUGGGUUUUUAAGACUAAAAAAAAUGACUAAUAAAUAGAAGUGGCUUUUUGGAGACUGCAGUUCACUUGCAGUAAAUUGAUCAGCUUCAUACUCAUUCUGCAAUUACAUGGACAGCACAGCCAGGAACUAGGUUCUAUUAUUCCUCUAUGAGUUGCGUUCAGCCCUUGGGCACCGUACUGUGCACUCCUGCAAUAUUGGAUGGAGCUUUUACUGGGAAUUUAAUUGUGUACAGAAACCCUACCCUGUGUUGACAGACAGACAGACACACACACACAGAGCAGAACACAACAGGAAAACGUGCAUGAGCCAAGCAUGAAAAGAUGGAGGAUGGGGGCCCAAAGCACCAAUGAUCUCUCUCUGGAAGGACCCCCAUGGAGCUCACUUGAAAUCAAUGGGGGUCUACCUACAUCCUUGCUUGAUCAGGAAGUUACAUUGGAUACAUCUUUCUCCUAUACUUUAAAAACAUAGUGUUCAGAUCUCUCAAAAAAUAGCCAUUGGAUCAUGUCCAAAUAUAAAUCCAUCACAACAACUAUGGAAAACACAACAGGUAAUAUAUUGGAAGAGGAGCACACUGAGGCCAAGAGAAUAUUGUCUCCAUUUCUAGCUGCACUAUUCAUAACUGAAGCCAGGUAUCAUGUUGCUAUAUUAGUCUGUGGUAUUGAUUUGUUCUUAAUACAGUGAAAUGCCCCUGUAAUGAACUCUGCUGUGCCCUUAAUAAUUUCAUAUCAAAAGAUGUUAUGUGCCUUGCUCAUAACAGGGUAACCGCAGCUCCCAAAAUAGCAAACUUCAUAAUAAAGUAUUAUGGAAGAGCUUGGAUUUCAAUAUAAAAAGGACUUGGCAGUACUCAAGGGCUUACUGGAAACAAAUGCAUACUUAAGAGUUGUAUUAAAGUCAUGUCAGUGACCAAAUUACACCUGCACUGACCUACAACUGAUCCCUAGGUCCCCGAGACACUUGUAGACAGAUCCUGUACAGAUUGGAUUUAAUCCCAUGGCACGGCCAGGACCAGAUGACAAGAAAGCAGCUGGGUUGCCCAGCUUCUGACAGCUGCUGACUAGGGAAGGGUGGCGUGCAGAGGGGGGCUGUAGUAACUGGAAAGAAAUCAUAAAAAGAGACCCAGAAUUUAAGGUGCAGCAUGGUUGUGAAUCGAUCCAAGAGGUGUCAUGCUUGAAGCAUAGGAGACAGGAACGCCUGCAUUCUAAAGCUGGCUCUGUCACAGAUUGAUAAUGUUGCCUCAGGCAUGUCACUUUACCUAUCUCUGCAUCAGCUUUUCUAGUCUAUGGAGGGAAUACAUCCAUUUGCCUCCCUCCUCUGAGAUUUGUUAUUCAGUGUUUGUGGGGGACCAGAUUUCCAAGGGCUCAUCACCCACAAUUAGGGCCUGACAGUCAAGAGAUCUCAGCUCCAGCAGAGGUACAUAAAUCAGGGCCAGGCGUGCUGGGCACUGAGUGCUAUUGGAGCUCCCAUUGUGAUGCUCAUGGCCAGGCAGUCAAGAAAAAGCAGCCCCCAAUGCGCUUUACCCUUGCAAAAAGUGGGCCCAUCAUGUUCUGAAGCACUACACACCGCUAAGAUAUUACUAUUAAAAGUUUCUAGAUUACACACAUACCAGAAGGUCUAAGAACUGCUUUAAUAAUGCAGUUGCCGAUAUUGCCUCACUUUAAGUUUCUCCUUUUAUACAGCAAUAGCCUGCCUCAUGGGUCUUGUACCAGAGAAAUAUUGACACUGGCAGUGGAAAACAGAUUGAGAACAGCAGCAGAGUCAGCUGUGAAGUUCUGUGGAGCAGGAAUGGAGAAAAAGGGAAGAAAAUUAAUAGUUGGCAUCCUGUAAAUCACAAAGGUGGGAGGAAGCUAAAGAUGAAGCACGUUUAAUGUAUGACCUGCCCUCAAGACAGGCUGCUCACAGGCAGUGUGUUAAUUACCAGGACAUCUACCAACAAACACACAAGAAACAAUAAGGCAAGACUUGCAACUGCUGAGAGAACAAAUUCCCUGUUUUAAAUAGGUUCAGAGUAGCAGUCGUGUUAGUCUGUAUUCACAAAAAGAAAAAGGAGUACUUGUGGCACCUUAGAGACUAACAAAUUUAUUUGAGCGUAAGCUUUCAUGAGCUACAGCUCACGAAAGCUUAUGCCCAAAUAAAUUUGUUAGUCUCUAAGGUGCCACAAGUACUCCUUUUCUUUUUGUGAAUAGUUAAGAAGUGAGGCACUAGGGGAUUUAGGGCCUGAUCUAAAGCUCGCUGAUGUCAGUGGGAAUCUUUCCACGGACUUCAUUGGCCUUUGGAUCCAGCCCUUAGAAGCAAUCACUAAUAAAGAGGAAGUCAGAGUUCCCCCGAUACACGAACAGCCCUCUCCUCACUCUGCCAACGGUGUUGCCAGCAGGGAGUCACUGACCUCUGGCAAGGCCUGCACACCCACUUGUCAGUUUCACUCACUUUUUGUAAGCAAGUGCAUUUUCAAGACGUGCUAAUAUAGUAAGGGAAUCAAUGUGUCAGCCCCUUAUGAAAGAACAACACGAUGAGUGAUAAGCAACACAGGUUCAUAAAGAACAGAUUGUACCAGACAAACCUGAUUGUCUACUUUGACAAAAUUGCAGAUUUAGCUGACAAAAGGAAUGAAGAGAAUUUAAUAUAGCUAGAUGAAGACAGGCUUUAGGCAGAGUCCCUUGUGGAAAAAUAGCAGAUUGGGAUGAGUUGUCUUCUGAUUAGAAGACAUCAGAGAGUUUCCCGUUAUCCAGUGCUGUAGAGAGAAAUAGUCAUAUAAACAAACAAGUUACUAAGAAGAUCCAAGUACAUGUUUCAGCACUUCCAUGGGAGAGACUGGCUGCAAAGUCAUCACAUAGCUGAACCAGGGGGGAAAGUUUCUAUACCCCUCUCCCCAUCUCCAAAGAGGGGGCCUAAAAGCACUUACCUUAUACCAGAGAUGUUUAGAGAGACACUGGAAAGAUCCACUUCUUCCCCUACCCUGCUCUUGGGAUGGAAGACAGAAUUAGCACCUAUCCAGAGAAUAAUAGAAUCAUCCUUCCAAGGAAAAGCAACACAUACUCAUCCCCCCUAGUUCUGGGAAGCAUCACAGGACAUCACAGCAGAAAAGCCCCUUUAUGGCCCCAUUUCACUGGAUGUUCUAAUCACACAGGUCGCUUGUGUCACCUCCUAGUCCUACUCUUCCUUUCCUACAUCCCCUCUUCUUCUCCCUCCUGCCUCCUCAAUGCUCCUUUCACACACACACACACAGAAACAAGGGUAUCAGUUGAUUUUCAUUCACAUACUUCUUCACUCUAUUCUUGUCCCAAGCCCAAGGCCCUUAUCUUGGCAAUGAGCUCAACAUAAGCAGGCCCCUCCCUGCCCCAGUGUGGAGCUUAUUAGAGCAUAUGGACACCUUGCUAGGAGAAACUUCCUGUUUGGGAGGGUACUGAAGACAAGCUAAUCACCUGAAUGUGCCACAUCUGGAAUAUUAUUCUCCUUAGCCUGUUUUCAAGCAGAUGAACAGGGAGAUCUCUCCUUUCCUCUCGCACCUUUAGAUAACAGGAAAGCGGUUAACUUAGACUGUAAGCUAUUGAGGUAUGGACUGUCAUUUGCUCUACCAGCAGAGUUCCUAAGAACCAAUGAGUCUCAGAUGUCAAUGCAAUUUCCUUUCUUUAACAAUUUCAUCUGUAACAUAAUGGAUGAUGACAGACUCAGUAUCUUCCUCGGAAAAACUCUAAACUGUUGCUACUCUGUCUCUAGCCUACUUCCUGUUAGAUACCUGCAGGACCCACAAGAUGACACUUUGCUACAAUAUGUGUGCACAGCAUUUAGUGCAGUGGGACCCCAUCUCAGCUGAGGACUAGUGCUAGUGCAAUGGAAAGAGAAACACUUUCCAAGGGUGUGUGGAGAAUACAGUUUAUCUGUGUUCAUAUACAAAUUCCAGAAACCUUCUGCCUAUAAAACAAACAGAAUUGAGUUAAUUCAAAUCAAAACUAUAUUUGCCACCAAACAAAAAUUGAAAUACUUGCUGAAACUAGAUUUGUUUUGAAACAAUGUAAUAGAUUUGUUUUGAAAUCAAUGUUAUAGAAAUGCUGUUGACAUUCAGCAUUUUCAUGGAUAUAUAACCGCUUUGGUGCAAUAAUUUUUAUUAUUAUUAUUUAUAUUAUAGGAGCACUUUCAGAUCCCCAGACAAAUAAGAGUUGUGCUAGGCCUUGUGCAUACACACUGACUGUGUUCCCCAUAUUGAAGAAGAAUCGCCAUUAGCUACUACCAGUAUAUGGCCUAGGACACACAGCUGAGCAGUUCUGAAUCAGGACAGCAUAGGCCAGCUAGUUCAUUCAAUUAACUUGGUAAGCAUUCUGGGGGAAGGAAAUAGGCUACACCUUGCAUAUCUUAUUUGUAUACCUCCUUGACUAAGUAGGGUCAAGGAAGGUCAGUGCUUGGAUGGAGACCUUCAAGAACACCCAGGUGCUGCAAGAAAUAAUGCUUGCGAAUCAGUCCAGGGCACUCUUCCCUCUUAGUCAGUACUGAGUAAAUGCUCCAGCAUGGCACUAAGGGCACUCCCUCCCUGGAAGGCACAUUGGGUGAGCCAUGCUUCUCAAUUUGUCUCCAAAGUCUCAGCUUGCAUUUAAAAAAAAAAGGGGGGGGUGCACCUCGAGCUGUUACAAUUGCAAAGAAAACCUUCAAUACGUAACCUAAGUAUAACCGAUGCUGCAAUGUCUGCCUGAGUCUGCAGAGAGCCUGAAACAAUAGUGCUGAAGAGCAAGCUGUUCUGUUCACCUCACUGGGUUCUAAUUCAGAUGCCCGUGAUGAUACUUUUCGUACCACCAUUGUUAACUAUAUCACUGCUCUCCAAAACGUGUAACAAUAGAGAGGACGUAUAUUGUGAAGCCCUACACAAACUGCUUCAGUGAGCUCUUAUUUUGGAUAGGCCUUUUACAGCACCUGGCCGAACUGAAAGGGCAUACUAGUGGAUUUGUUUUCCUGGUGGUGGCUCAACUGUCCAGAGUUUGGGAAAUCCUGCCAUGGGAUAUGUUUGCAAGAGUGUUAGCACUUGAGAGGGACCAGCAUUUCACACGGAACAUAGCUCACUCUCCCGGCCAUACAGGAAUCUUUCCUUCAGUGCAAAUAAUAGCAGUUGCUGCUAGCAAUGAGUGCUGGAAAUGCCCAGCACUUAAAAGGUAUUGUCGGUACCACAGAGCAGCAGUUAGAGAGACAGCAACUGAUCUUAAUGGGCUCAGUGUGUGAAUUUUUUUCUGUUAAUGUAGGCAGUGGUUACGAUGCCAGGGGACAGGCGUCCUUAACAGUGAAUAAGAAGGUUUUAAACCCUGUAUGCUUAAUGGUUGAACAAUGAUUCAUUGAAUACAUUCAUUGGGCACCAGCUAUCCCUGCUGUUCAUGAUUAUACCUUGUUUGAGUGAAUAACCCCCCUGCCCCCGAAACUUACCUUUUCUAGGGACUCUGCAUUGAUCUUUCUGUUGUCUAUUCCUCCUACCCUCCCAGCAAGCCAGGAGAUGUCACCAACACAGCCACAGCCCCUAGUCAUGAUGUGGCUUUUAAACAGAGCAGCUUUAUUAGCUAGUGUUUUUCCUGCAGUAACCUCUCCCCAAAGAGGAAGGUGACACAGUUGGAGGUUAUAAUAGCUGCACUUUAAUAGCAUGGAAACAGGCCAAGUUACAAAUAGCAGAAUAGUAAAACCCCAAUUGCUAUUUAGCAUCUUAUAGCAGCUUCCAGAGCCACAUGUGAGCAACGUUAGGCAGCAGUGCAGUGAGCAACACAUGUGCACCUCACAGGCACACACCUGGCCAGUGCUAACCAAUGCGUGACAUGUGUGCGGUGCCUCGGUCCCUGCGCCAGCCAUGCUAACCAGUGCGCUGGGAACCAAAGACAGGCGGCUCGCAACGAAACGCUAACAGGUGCCCUGGUAAUGGGCUAACAUCUCGCAAAUCCCAAUUUCAGUGUCAACCACCAUCCACAUUAGUACAAAAACAGUUCUACAAAAAAAUCAGUCAUGGCUAAAAGCACCGUUCUGCAGCUAAGGCGUUCGCAAUAUUAUGUUCUCCAUUAAGCAGUGUGCUUUGCUGAACCCUGCUCAGAGCACUGAGAGGUCAAAGCAGCAUGCGGCAGACUCAUAGAUUCGAAGGCCAGAAGGGAGCACUGUGAUCACCUUGUGUGACCUGUAUAACACGAGCCCUUGGACUUCCACAAAAUAAUUCUUGUUUGAUCAAGGGGAUGAACGAUAUUAUGGGCAGCCCCAUGGUCAGAGAGAGGGAGUAAGUGGGGAUGGGCACGGGGUCUGUGCACAGGCGCCAGGGGAACCCGCAGCCAGGAACAACGCCAAGGAGGGGGAUUCAUAGGCUGCAAAAGAAACAAGCUUUACAAGGUCUCAUGGGAAACCCUCCAGAUUAAAUAGGAGACAUGGCAAGAGUGGGGCUCUCUGCAGAGAUCCCAAUCCAUGUUCUUGGCUUGGCAUCUCCUUGGAGAUGGUGAGAAGGCAAUUGGGUUAGUGUGAGGCAUACAGCAAUGAGGAGGGGAUAGUUGGGUUAGUGUGGGGCAGACGGCAAUGGGGCUAGGGAACGGGCAGCUGGGUUAGUGUUAAGCAUAUGGCAAUAAGGAGGGGGUAGUGGGAUUAUCCUGAGGUGUGAAGGUGAGGAGGACUAUCCCAGGAGGAGUGGUGUGUUUUCCAACACUCCCAAAGGGACCAGAGAUUUUGUCCUGUCCCCACUGGGCUCCAAAAGCUAAGCCGAUUAGAACCGUGAUGGGCGUAACAAUAAAGAGUAACUGGCCCGCAGUGAGAUCAGGACGUACAAGUGAAUGAGCUCACCCCAAGCCGAUGGUGCUCAGUGGAGGAAGUGCUGUGUGAUACUUCUGGCUGGGCCCAUUCCAAUGCAUGUGAACUGCCAAGGGAGGAAACAAAGCUAGGAACAGGAGGGAAGGACAGGCAGAGGAUGAACCAAGAACUGUAUUUAUUACAUAAGGUGGUUUUGAACAGGCUUUUGCUCUCAAAUUCCCACUUUAGGCCUGAGUACAUUGCAACAUUUCCCCACUCCCCAGGCCAACCUCAGCGCAGUCUACUGUAACAAAAUCUACCAUACGAUGUGAAAAUGCACAUUUCUCUAGAGCUGCGACUAACUUCCUUCCAUCAGAGGAGGGGAGCAGAGGCCUUUCCACUUCGACUCUUCUGGAGUUACAUGCAAUACGCUCUUCUCAGCUCCGGUGAGACACCUGGCACGCACACCCCCUAAAGCUGCACUUGCAUUAGGCCCAGCUCAGUUAGCUGGGAUGCAGCAAUGCUUCAUACACUGCACUGUAUGUGGCAUGCAGAGUGCCACUCUGUGGUCAGAUAUGUUAAUGGCAGGAGGACAUUUCUCCAAGGGUUUUGCUCCUAUCACAUUGGCACAGGGCUAAUAAGGGGGACACUUGUGGUUAUGGUUGUCAUUUUUAAUUCCUAAAGCAAACACAGGUGAGCUCAAAGCUGGACUGCAGAGUGGCUGCCAGACUCAUCCGCUCCUGCACGCUCCGUGCACACGUCCAGGGCUGAGGCUAGACUGCUGCGAGCUACGCCAAGGGCACGGGUGUGCCCAGGCCACAGACACAGGAAUGCAUCUCUGCAGCACUGGCCCCAAGACAGAAGUAGAGCUCACCAUAUGGCACUACACUGGCGCUGCAUUCCAUUGACCUGCAAUCGCUAGUGCAAGCCCCUGCACCGGAUGGAGGACUUCAGUUAAGUUUAGUGUGCGUGGGUGCAACUGGUGGGCAGACAGUAGAGCAGAAUUAACCGGGCUUUCCGGCCAGGGAUUGGACUCACUGUUCACGCACAUCCUGCCUGUUACUGCUGCCAGGACUUGAACACAGCCCCUGGCAGGCCAGAGGCAGCAGCACUAGCAGCUGGGCUGGAUAAGAGCUGCCCCCUGGCAGAGCCUAUGGGAGCCAUACCGAGCUGGCCUCAGCUGCCACUCUGCAUGUGUCAUGGCCAGCAGGGCCUCUCCCACUUGGGCAAUGAAUGUGAAGCUGA